GAUGAACGCUGGCGGCGUGCCUAAUACAUGCAAGUCGAGCGAAUGAUGAGGAGCUUGCUCCUCUGAUUUAGCGGCGGACGGGUGAGUAACACGUGGGUAAUCUGCCUGUAAGACGGGGAUAACUCCGGGAAACCGGGGCUAAUACCGGAUAACAAGAGAAGAAGCAUUUCUUCUUUUUGAAAGUCGGUUUUGGCUGACACUUACAGAUGAGCCCGCGGCGCAUUAGCUAGUUGGUGAGGUAACGGCUCACCAAGGCGACGAUGCGUAGCCGACCUGAGAGGGGGCACGGCCACACUGGGACUGAGACACGGCCCAGACUCCUACGGGAGGCAGCAGUAGGGAAUCUUCGGCAAUGGGCGAAAGCCUGACCGAGCAACGCCGCGUGAGCGAUGAAGGCCUUCGGGUCGUAAAGCUCUGUUGUUAGAGAAGAACAAGUACGAGAGUAACUGCUCGUACCUUGACGGUACCUAACCAGAAAGCCACGGCUAACUACGUGCCAGCCGCCGCCGUAA
rnacentral:rRNA from 1 species